rnacentral:rRNA from 1 species
CAAACUGGGAUUAGAUACCCCACUAUGCUUAGCCGUAAACUUAGAUAUGUAAACCUAACAAACAUAUUCGCCAGAGAACUACUAGCAAUUGCUUAAAACUCAAAGGACUUGGCGGUGCUUUAUAUCCAUCUAGAGGAGCCUGUUCUAUAAUCGAUAAACCCCGAUUCACCUCACCAUCUCUUGCUAAGUCAGCCUAUAUACCGCCAUCUUCAGCAAACCCUAAUUAAGGCACUCUAAGUAAGCCAAAACAUACAACAUAAAAACGUUAGGUCAAGGUGUAGCCAAUGAGGUGGGAAGAAAUGGGCUACAUUUUCUUGCCCUAAGAAAACUAACGGAAACUCUUAUGAAACUGAAGAGGAUAAGGAGGAUUUAGCAGUAAAUUGAACUUAGAAAGCUCAAUUGAACUGAGCAAUGAAGCACG